UACUUUUUUAAUGUUAGUUUUUACAUUGUUCGGUUUUUUGGUUUUUUUUGUUUGGUUGUUUUUUUUUUUUUGGUUUUUCGAGACAGGGUUUCUCUGUGUAGUUCUGGCUGUCUUGGAACUCACUCUGUAGACCAGGCUGGCCUCAAACUCACGAUAUCUGCCUGCCUAAAUCAGCAGCUCAGUUCACAGGUCUGCAGCAACAGAUUGAUCCACUUGCAAACACUUCACAGAUAUAGCAGUCCUGUUCUGUAGAGUCGAGACAGCAAACAGAAAUCAGCAGCAGUGGCACUACCUAGCAGAGACAGUCAGGCCUCAGCCUCGGCUCAAGUCAGGAGGGACCAGCAGGAACACCAGGAGAAGCU
ensembl:antisense Gm12949 predicted gene 12949